GAGGACAUGGAGGUGAAGUGGCCAGCACAGUGCCCAGCUCCCCAUAAGUACCCACAGUGACUAUCGCUAUUAUUCCUUCAGUGGCUGGGACUGGGGCUUUGCUCAGGAUUCAAGCCUCCAUUCUCUCUGUAAACUCAAGAUGGUACACAAGCUUCUGUACCCCACUGGGAGACUGGGUCUUCAUUAUGAAGGCUCCUGGGUAUAUAUGCCACAAGGACAUUUCUGGACUGACCUGCUAGAGGAAGAUAGAAAGACAUAGUGCCACUGGACAUUUCAUUUUGGCCCACAGUAACCAACGUCCACAGAAUGGAACUGCCCAUGGGUACCCUUAGUGGGAAACAGGGAUAAAAAUGAAACUACUGCUUUCUCAACACCUACCGUGUGCCCGGAAAUGUUAACUCAUUUCAGUGAGAUGGUGAUGCUGGGGCCAGCAUUCAAGCCAGCCUCCAGCCUGACUUGGAAGCCCUGGGUGUUCACACCACCCAGCAGUGCCUCCAAAGACAGCCUCUAACCCUGCUUCCUUGUCUGGCCACACUCCUCGCCCACUCCGGCGCCGCGUCUGACCCCAAAACAUCUCUGCGAGGGCAGACCUCCAUGUUACAAAGUCCAGGAGACACUUUCCAACCUCACCUUACUUGCCCCUCUCAGCAGCUUGGCAUCUGUGUGGCUGUGGGUCUCCUGGGAUUCCCCCUGCCUACCUGGCCACACCUAUUCAGGAUGGCUGCUUGAGCUCCAGCCAUUUGGUCUGCAUUCAGUCAGAAAGGAAGAAGGAAGAAGGGGAGAAGAACACACGCCACACUCCACACCCUGUUAAGGAGAUUUCUUUAUUAAAGAGCCAGUGGAACAGUUUCUUACAUUUCAUUGGUUAGAACUUUGUAGCGUGGUCACAUCUCCCUUCAAUGGAAACUGGGAAAUGUAGUCUUUUAGCAGGUGACAAAGUGCCCAGCUAAAUAGUGAGAUUAUGUUAUGAAAAGGUAAAAGAUUGAA